UGUCCAAUGCGGGAAUCGAACCCGGGUCGUAAUGGUCGAAAACCAAACGGUUUAACCGCCUUCCACCAACCCCCCAGGC
rnacentral:tRNA from 1 species